rnacentral:rRNA from 1 species
CGCUGGCGGCGUGCUUCAUACAUGCAAGUCGAACGAGAAGCUCACUUCGGUGAGUGGAAAGUGGCGGACGGGUGAGUAAUGUGUAGAGAAUCUGCCCUAGAGUGGGGGAUAGCAGUUGGAAACGACUAUUAAUACCCCAUAUGCGCGUAGCUGAGAUGCUAUUCGUGAAAACUCCGGUGCUCUGGGAUGAGUCUGCAUCUGAUUAGCUAGUUGGCGGUGUAAUGGACCACCAAGGCGACGAUCAGUAGCUGGUUUGAGAGGAUGAUCAGCCACAAUGGGACUGAGACACGGCCCAUACUCCUACGGGAGGCAGCAGUAGGGAAUUUUGCGCAAAUGGGGGAAACCCUGAACCGCAGCAACGCCGCGUGAAUGAAGAAGCCCUUCGGGGUGUAAAGUUCUGUACAGUGGGGACGAAACUUGACGGUACCCACAGAGGAAGCAUCGGCUAACUCCGUGCCAGCCGCCGC